rnacentral:rRNA from 1 species
AUUGAACGCUGGCGGCAUGCCUUACACAUGCAAGUCGAACGGCAGCGGGGGAGAAGCUUGCUUUUCCUGCCGGCGAGUGGCGAACGGGUGAGUAAUACAUCGGAACGUGCCCUGUAGUGGGGGAUAACUAGUCGAAAGAUUAGCUAAUACCGCAUACGACCUGAGGGUGAAAGCGGGGGACCGCAAGGCCUCAUGCUAUAGGAGCGGCCGAUGUCUGAUUAGCUAGUUGGUGGAGUAAAGGCCUACCAAGGCGACGAUCAGUAGCUGGUCUGAGAGGACGAUCAGCCACACUGGGACUGAGGCACGGCCCAGACUCCUACGGGAGGCAGCAGUGGGGAAUUUUGGACAAUGGGCGAAAGCCUGAUCCAGCAAUGCCGCGUGUGUGAAGAAGGCCUUCGGGUUGUAAAGCACUUUUGUCCGGAAAGAAAUGGCUCUGGUUAAUACCUGGGGUCGAUGACGGCACCGGAAGAAUAAGGACCGGCUAACUACGUGCCAGCAGCCGCCGUAA